GAUGAACGCUAGCGACAGGCCUAACACAUGCAAGUCGAGGGGCAGCACAAGGAGCAAUCUGAGGUGGCGACCGGCGCACGGGUGAGUAACACGUAUGCAACCUACCUGUAAGCGGGGAAUAACCCGUUGAAAGACGGACUAAUACCGCAUAAAACUGGGAAUCUGCAUGGAUAUUCAGUUAAACAUUUAUGGCUUACAGAUGGGCAUGCGCAUGAUUAGAUAGUUGGAGAGGUAACGGCUCCCCAAGUCAACGAUCAUUAGGGGUUCUGAGAGGAAGGUCCCCCACACUGGUACUGAGACACGGACCAGACUCCUACGGGAGGCAGCAGUGAGGAAUAUUGGUCAAUGGGCGAGAGCCUGAACCAGCCAAGUCGCGUGCAGGAAGAAUGUCCUAUGGAUUGUAAACUGCUUUUGCAGGGGAAUAAAGUGAGCCACGUGUGGUUUUUUGUAUGUACUCUGCGAAUAAGGAUCGGCUAACUCCG
rnacentral:rRNA from 1 species